ACACCUCCAUCAAAUCUAUCUACAAAUAUAGAUCCAACAGAGGGAUACGAGGAACUUGAUGGCGUCUUCACCAAUUCUUGCCGGGACCAAUGAGGAAUCAGAUCCCCCAAAUGGAUUCGAAGAAACUACAGCUAGCAAUGCAACAGAGCAAAUUGAAAAAGGGGUGCCAAAGCUUGGCAUGCGGUUUUUAUCUGAAGAAGAAGCUUAUUCCUUCUAUAACAAGUAUGCUUAUUCCAUGGGUUUUAGCAUCCGAAGAGGCAAUCAACAUAAAGUAAAAAAUUCUAGUACAAUACAACAACGGACGUUCACAUGUUCUCGUCAAGGAGUUCGUGCGGAAGAUAAAAGAGAGGAGAAAUUCAGUUAUAGUAGGCCUGAGACACGAUGUGGUUGUGAUGCACGUAUGAAGAUAAGUCUUAAUAAUGGGAUUUAUUAUGUAUACGAAUUUAAGGAAGCCCACAACCAUAGUCUUG